rnacentral:rRNA from 1 species
GACGAACGCUUGCGGUGUGCCUAAUACAUGCAAGUCGAACGAGUGGCGGACGGGUGAGUAAUGUCUGGGAAACUGCCUGAUGGAGGGGGAUAACUACUGGAAACGGUAGCUAAUACCGCAUACCAUCAGAUGUUCUCAGAUGGGAUUAGCUAGUUGGUGGGGUAACGGCUCACCAAGGAGACGAUCCAUAGCUGGUCUGAGAGGAUGACCAGCCACACUGGAACUGAGACACGGUCCAGACUCCUACGGGAGGCAGCAGUGGGGAAUAUUGCACAAUGGGCGCAAGCCUGAUGCAGCCAUGCCGCGUGUAUGAAGAAGGCCUUCGGGUUGUAAAGUACUUUCAGCGGGGAGGCGUUACCCGCAGAAGAAGCACCGGCUAACUCCGUGCCAGCAGCCGCGGUAAUUC